GUGCUUGCUUUGGCAGCACGCACACUGACAUUGGAACGAUACAGAGAAGAUGGGAAUGGCCCCGGCCACGCCAAUUUGUGAAGCGUUCCAUAGUUUA
rnacentral:snRNA from 1 species